rnacentral:rRNA from 1 species
UACGAAGGGGGCUAGCGUUGCUCGGAAUGACUGGGCGUAAAGGGCGCGUAGGCGGCUUGUAUAGUCGGAUGUGAAAUUCCUGGGCUUAACCUGGGGGCUGCAUACGAGACGUAUGGGCUUGAGUGCGGAAGAGGGUCGUGGAAUUCCCAGUGUAGAGGUGAAAUUCGUAGAUAUUGGGAAGAACACCGGUGGCGAAGGCGGCCAUCUGGACCGGAACUGACGCUGAGGCGCGAAAGCCAGGGGAGCGAAUGGG